GAGUUUGAUCUUGGCUCAGGACGAACGCUGGCGGCGUGCUUAACACAUGCAAGUCGAACGGAGCACCCUUGAAAGAGUUUUCGGACAAUGGAUAGGAAUGCUUAGUGGCGGACUGGUGAGUAACGCGUGAGGAACCUGCCUUUCGGAGGGGGACAACAGUUGGAAACGACUGCUAAUACCGCAUGACAUAUCGAAGUCGCAUGGCUUUGAUAUCAAAGAUUUAUCGCCGAAAGAUGGCCUCGCGUCUGAUUAGCUAGUUGGUGGGGUAACGGCCCACCAAGGCGACGAUCAGUAGCCGGACUGAGAGGUUGACCGGCCACAUUGGGACUGAGAUACGGCCCAGACUCCUACGGGAGGCAGCA
rnacentral:rRNA from 1 species